GAAUGCGUCCACAAGGCGAUAAAUGCAGAUGAACAUACUUGGUUGAUUAAAGUUGUAUUAGUUUUUCUGAUACUUAUCCCACUUAUGCUGAUUUCCAAAAGGUAUGUAUCAAUAUCAACAAUAUCAACGUGUUUGUUUCAUUUUUCCAUUUUUCUUACACGUUUGCUAAAUUGGUGUUACUUCUUAAAAUUCGCUAUCGAAAUUCCGAUUACUUUCUUUCGAAAAUUUUGUAUUCAUUUUUUUAUUGUUGUGUAUUUAAUUCCAUUCACAUAAUCUGAGAAUGCGUUUUGAUUCUCAAAAUUUCAGUAAUCGGUUACAGUUUUGAAAUUGAAAUUGAAAAAAUGUCUUUUUAACAAACUAAUGAAUUACGACUAAAUAGAUUUUCGACAUUAGCUACUGGUAUAUGGACCUGUCAUGUUAACAGCUAUGACUGUUUUAUAAUAUUUAUGAGUUUGUCAUAAGAUUUUGUCAUUAAGGAACCCUGAAUCAUAUUCUGUGACAAGGUCUCGUUAUAUGAUUUUUGUAAGAUACGUUUCCGCUUUCGAAAUUUAUCUGCUUUUAGCUUUCAGGUUAUUCAAAUAUCUGGUGCCCUUGUGAUUUUUUGCCGUUUUAAGACUUUUUUGCGUCGGCCUUAGAAGAGUUAGAAUUCCGUUCUCUUACCUCAUGACCAAUUUACUUGCAUAUUUGAUUUAAAUCAACUUUGGCUGGUUCUCAGACCCGAACACACUUUACUUAAAGGUCCAAAGAAAUUAUCCAUGUAGAUAAACGAUUGUAUAGUUUACCUGUUGAUGAAAUCUGUUGUUCUUAAACUACACCCCUUAAACACCUAGCUAGCCACCAUCUUUUUCUUAACAUUUUUUCAAUGGCAACGUUAUAUUAGCAGGGAUGUAUUCUAUCAAUGCUUGCAUUUUGUUGAUGAUUUUGAAAUCCUCCGAAUUUAGAGAAUUGGAGACUUUCAGUGAAAGUGCAUCUUACUAAGUCAAGGGUUGUUGUAUUCGCCUAUCUCCUCUGAGUAUACAAGUGGAUCAGUAACCCUAGACUUUGGAACAUGUAGAAUUGUCGAACUUGAAUUUAUAAAUAGAGAUUCUAUUCAGAGCAUGGUGUACUCUCAUCAGCAUUGAAAUAUCAAGUGGAAAGAUAAAAAAGAUAUUAAUCAACAAUUUUGGAUAACGGGGAACUACCCUUAUAUCUCAACAGAUGGAGAAAACCUGUCGUUAAUAUCAAAGACAAAAGAAUAGAAAAUUUUGAAGAAUGGAGAAAACCCGUCCUUCGAUUUGGAGAUGAAGACAAAAGAAUAAGAGAUUUUUUCAGGUACGCACAUAUCGACAUUGAUCAAGAAGACUGGGCUGUAAGUUGUGAAAUUGUAGACAGGAUUUUAAAGAUCGUUGUGUCCGAGAUGAGAAAAGAGGCAAUCAAACGGUUUCCUGGACUUGCAAUAGGAAAAACGCUUAGAAAACAAGGAAGCUCCAGAGAGGGUUUAAAAGUCUGUGAUCCACUGGAAUUUGAUUUACUUUUACCAUUUUUUUUGGAAAAUGUCAAAACGAACAAUGAUGCCGUCUUUGACUACAAUGGGUGUAUUAUACCCGGUCUUUUCAAGAUGAAGAUAAUGAAUCCUGACAAGCUUCCUUCGUGGUGGAGAAAAUGUGAGUUGCUCUACGAAGAACGGGGGAAAACAUAUAUAAACACAAGUAAUUUUCAUAAAAAGGUGUUUGCUUCUCUUCUCGAUCAAACCAGAGAAGGAAUUAAUAAAGUACUAAAAAAAUUGACCGAAAAUACAAAUGACGAGUAUGCUGUGGUCCGGAGUGUCAUUUCUCCUAGCUUAAAAAUAACUAUUCAUGUACAUAGUGAAAAUGGGUUAAAAAGUUUCACAAAUAUUCUCGGGUUUUUGGAAGACCGGUAUGUACGUGGAGAAGGGUUUCCUGUAUAUAAAGAAAUGGACCUCGAAAUUGAUCUAGUACCUGGUAUUUUGUUAUCAAUUGACGAAUUUCCCAAAAAUAUGCUUAAUCGAAAUAGUUUCAUUUCUUGUGAACGAUACGGAGUCAUGAAGUGGGUAAAUAAAAAGAAUCACCAUAUUCCUAAACAAGAUGGAGAUCUCAUUUGGCGUAAUUCAACAUGUGGUUACGAGAAGUGUAUAUUUGAUAUCGCUCAGAAAAAUUCGAGUCAACUUUAUGUAAUGACAGCUUGUAGAUUGCUGAAGUGGGCACUAAGAAAAGUUACAUCAAGUACAAACAAUCAACUCGGCAGUGUGCUAAAAUCCUACCAUCUGAAAAACCUUUGUUUUUAUUGUAUUUUGUUUUUGACGAUACCAUUUGAGCGAAAAAGACUUUCUGGUGUAACGGAGGCAACUGGAUACUUCAUCGAAUUUAUUCGACUUAGUCUGGAAGCUGGAAAUCUGCCGCACUUUUUCCAUGGGAAUCCCUGUCUUAGUGAUAUAUUUCCUGGUUCUGUAUUUGGUGAAGAGAAAACAAAGUACAACAUGUUUGCUAUGAACAGUGAAGAAACAUUGGUUCAGGCACGGUUGGGAUUUAAGGAUUUCAAGCGAACAUUAGACGGUCUAUACCUGGAAAGAGAUCAGCUAGACUACAAGAAAAUCAAACUCUUUGCUUGCCAUUUGCACCUUCAAUAAAUGUGUUUCUACGUAUCUGUACUUUGUGCAGUAAUCUCUCUCUCUCUCUCUUUCUCUCUCUCUCAACGACGGUCCUUUAAUAAGGUCCAAAGUAUUUCAGUAGGUGUAUGUAGUUUUCGAAAAUUAAAAGAUUUAGCACUGAUGUAAAU
rnacentral:misc_RNA from 1 species